rnacentral:rRNA from 1 species
CCUACGGGUGGCAGCAGUCGGGAAUUUUGGGCAAUGGGGGCAACCCUGACCCAGCAACGCCGCGUGAGCGAUGAAGGCCUUCGGGUCGUAAAGCUCUGUCGGGAGGGAAGAAGGCUCUCGGGGUGAACAAUCACGGGGGAUUGACGGUACCUCCAAAGGAAGCGCCGGCUAACUCCGUGCCAGCAGCCGCGGUAAUACGGAGGGCGCAAGCGUUGUUGGGGGUCACUGAGCGUAGGUGUCGAGUAGGGGGGCCUAACCCCGGAACUGCACUCGAAACUGCCUCGCUCGAGUCUCGGAGAGGGUGGUGGAAUUCCCGGUGUAGUGGUGAAAUACGUAGAUAUCGGGAGGAACACCAGCGGCGAAGGCGGCCACCUGGACGAUGACUGACGCUGAGACGCGAAAGCGUGGGGAGCAAACAGGAUUAGAUACCCUAGUAGUC